rnacentral:rRNA from 1 species
UUCAACAUAUGCGCAGGUUGUUGGGUGUCUGGUAUACCCGAAGGCCUAGUGAAAGCAAGCGAUGCCAUUUGAUGGUAUCACAGUGGCGAGAUCUUGGCAUUUAUACAUGCUAAGCGCAUCGCCGACCCGUUUAAAGGCCACGCGCCUUGGACGGAGUUUGAGCGCAUACGCUGAGACCCGAAAGAUGGUGAACUAUGCCUGGGCAGGAUGAAGCCACAGGAAACUCUGGUGGAAGUCCGUAGCGAUUCUGACGUGCAAAUCGAUCGUCUGACCUGGGUAUAGGGGCGAAAGACUAAUCGAACCAUCUAAUAGCUGGUUCCCUCCGAAGUUUCCCUCAGGAUAGCUGGUGCUCGUUUUUAAGCAGUCUCUCCCGGUAAAGCGAAUGAUUAGAGGCCUUGGGACCGAAACGGUCUCAACCUAUUCUCAAACUUUAAAUGGGUGAGAAGUCCGGCUUACUUAAUUUGAAGUCUGGACCAUAUACUUGGAUGCAUGAGUGCCUAGUGGGCCAUUUUUGGUAAGCAGAACUGGCGCUGUGGGAUGAACCGAACGUUGAGUUACGGCGCCUGAUUAUAGACGCUCAUCAGAUACCACAAAAGGUGUUGGUUGCUAUAGACAGCAGGACGGGGCC